rnacentral:rRNA from 1 species
GACGAACGCUGGCGGCGUGCUUAACACAUGCAAGUCGAACGGAAAGGCCCUGCUUGCAGGGUACUCGAGUGGCGAACGGGUGAGUAACACGUGGGUGAUCUGCCCUGCACUUCGGGAUAAGCCUGGGAAACUGGGUCUAAUACCGGAUAGGAGCCAUUUUUAGUGUGAUGGUUGGAAAGUUUUUUCGGUGUAGGAUGAGCUCGCGGCCUAUCAGCUUGUUGGUGGGGUAAUGGCCUACCAAGGCGGCGACGGGUAGCCGGCCUGAGAGGGUGGACGGCCACAUUGGGACUGAGAUACGGCCCAGACUCCUACGGGAGGCAGCAGUGGGGAAUAUUGCACAAUGGGCGCAAGCCUGAUACAGCGACGCCGCGUGGGGGAUGACGGCCUUCGGGUUGUAAACUCCUUUCGCUAGGGACGAAGCUUUUUGUGACGGUACCUAGAUAAGAAGCACCGGCUAACUACGUG